rnacentral:rRNA from 1 species
UGGGGAAUAUUGGACAAUGGGCGCAAGCCUGAUCCAGCCAUGCCGCGUGAGUGAUGAAGGCCCUAGGGUUGUAAAGCUCUUUCACCGGUGAAGAUAAUGACGGUAACCGGAGAAGAAGCCCCGGCUAACUUCGUGCCAGCAGCCGCGGUAAUACGAAGGGGGCUAGCGUUGUUCGGAUUUACUGGGCGUAAAGCGCACGUAGGCGGACUUUAAGUCAGGGGUGAAAUCCCGGGGCUCAACCCCGGAACUGCCUUUGAUACUGGAAGUCUUGAGUAUGGUAGAGGUGAGUGGAAUUCCGAGUGUAGAGGUGAAAUUCGUAGAUAUUCGGAGGAACACCAGUGGCGAAGGCGGCUCACUGGACCAUUACUGACGCUGAGGUGCGAAAGCGUGGGGAGCAAACAGGAUUAGAUACCCCUGGUAGUCCACGCCGUAAACGAUGAAUGUUAGCCGUUGGGGAGUUUACUCUUCGUGGCGCAGCUAACGCAUUAAACAUUCCGCCUGGGGAGUACGGUCGCAAGA